AUGAAAGAGAAUGCAGAAAAUAAGAUAAUUAGAAAGAAGAAGCCCAUGCGGGAACUUCGCAUCUGCAAGCUCUGCCUCAACAUCGGUGUGGGGGAGAGCGGAGACAGACGGACCCGGGCAGCCGAGGUGCUGCAGCAGCUCACAGGCCAGACGCUCGUGUUCUCCAAAGCUGGAUACAUGGUUAGAUCCUUUGGCAUCAGGAGAAAUGAAAAGAUUGCUGUCCACUGCACAGUCCGUGGGGCCAAGGCAGAAGAAAUCCCGGAAAAAGGUCUAAGGGUGCGAGAGUAUGAGUUAAGAAAAAAAUAACUUCUCUGAUACUGGAAACUUUGGCUUUGGGAUCCAGGAGCACAUCGAUCUGGGGGUCAAAUAUGACCCUAGCAUUGGUAUCUACGGCCUGGACUUCUAUGUAGUGCGGGGUAGGCCAGGUUUCAGCAUCGCAGACAAGAAGCGCAGGACAGGCUGCACUGGGGCCAAACACAGAAUCAGCAAAAAGGAGGCCAUGCACUGGUUCCAGCAGAAGUAUGAUGGGAUCAUCCUUCCUGGCAAAUAAAUUCCCGUUUCUUUCCAAAAGGCCAAUAAAAACUUUUCAGUGAAAUGUAAAAAAAAA